CUGCAGUUGCACCAUGCGCUGCUGCAUAGGAAGCAUGUUUGCUAACAAGACGCUGCAACUGUGCUCUAAUAUUAUGGCCUGUAAGUGGUUUGUGAGUACAUUUCUUAGCCAGUAUUAUGACACAUGAGUUGGAUUUGUCAUGUGAUUUGUCAUAAUGCUAUAAUAGAAGAAGGUAGUAUGCGGUGGGACUGCCAGGCUAGGCCCCAUCCGGAUUGAAAAAAUGAAGAUCCAGUGAUGAAAAUGUGAAAGGAAAUCCUCAAGUUGAUCGCUCACUGACACGUGUUCAAGGCCUGGUGUGUUCAAUGACUGUGGUGAAAGGCUGGCCUCGGUGUGAAUGGAUCCUUAUGGAUAACAGUGUGGGUUUGGACCCAUAAUCCUUGAUGUGGACAUGGGUGUGCCAGUGUGACACCAUGACUCAUACAAGCCUCUGCAUAUUUUUUUAUACCCUCUGUGAUUAAAUAUGUCCAAUAAAGUACAACAAUUGUA